rnacentral:lncRNA from 1 species
UCAACUUAAACACAAAACUUUAUUGAAUAAGAAAAUGAACAAAUAUUUGUGGAUAUAACGUGACUGUAAUAAGCCCAAUUUGCCAGGGCCCAAAAUCACAAAUAAAUAAAAACAAAAAUAAAAAAAUGUCUAAAAUGUCCAUAUUACAGUGACCCAAUACCAGUCCAGUGGCCCAAAACUCUACCCAAACCUGAAUCAGCUAAACCUAAACAGACCCUAAACCCAAUUUUCUAGGCCCAAAUUAGCCUAGCCUAAAC